AUUGAACGCUGGCGGCAGGCCUAACACAUGCAAGUCGAACGGUAACAGGAAGAAGCUUGCUUCUUUGCUGACGAGUGGCGGACGGGUGAGUAAUGUCUGGGAAACUGCCUGAUGGAGGGGGAUAACUACUGGAAACGGUAGCUAAUACCGCGUAACGUCGCAAGACCAAAGAGGGGGACCUUCGGGCCUCUUGCCAUCGGAUGUGCCCAGAUGGGAUUAGCUAGUAGGUGGGGUAACGGCUCACCUAGGCGACGAUCCCUAGCUGGUCUGAGAGGAUGACCAGCCACACUGGAACUGAGACACGGUCCAGACUCCUACGGGAGGCAGCAGUGGGGAAUAUUGCACAAUGGGCGCAAGCCUGAUGCAGCCAUGCCGCGUGUAUGAAGAAGGCCUUCGGGUUGUAAAGUACUUUCAGCGGGGAGGAAGGGAGUAAAGUUAAUACCUUUACCCAUUGACGUUACCCGCAGAAGAAGCACCGGCUAACUCCGUG
rnacentral:rRNA from 1 species